rnacentral:rRNA from 1 species
UGAGGAAUAUUGGUCAAUGGUCGCAAGACUGAACCAGCCAAGUAGCGUGAGGGAAGACUGCCCUAUGGGUUGUAAACCUCUUUUAUCUGGGAAUAAAGUGAGCCACGUGUGGCUUAUUGCAGGUACCAGAAGAAUAAGGACCGGCUAAUUCCGUGCCAGCAGCCGCGGUAAUACGGAAGGUCCAGGCGUUAUCCGGAUUUAUUGGGUGUAAAGGGAGCGUAGGCCGCUGGGUAAGCGGGCAGUGAAAUGCAGAGGCUCAACCUCUGACUUGCUGUUCGAACUGCCAGGCUUGAGUACGCACGAGGUAGGCGGAAUUGGUGGUGUAGCGGUGAAAUGCUUAGAUAUCACAAAGAACUCCAAUUGCGAAGGCAGCUUACCGGAGCGCAACUGACGCUGAAGCUCGAAAGUGCGGGUAUCGAACA